rnacentral:sRNA from 1 species
GGUUUUCAUGCUCUUGUUUGGGAGCUUGCGAGAGGUAACCAUGGCCGCCACAACCAACACCGCUGCCCCGCCGCGCCAGCUCUCUCAAAAGGAAGCCGACAUCCAGAUGAUGUUGGCAGCCAACGUUCACCUCGGCACCAAAAAUUGUGAUUUUCAAAUGGAGCGCUACAUCUUCAAGCGCCGCAACGAUGGUAUUUAUAUUAUCAACCUUGGUAAGACAUGGGAGAAGCUUCAACUUGCUGCUAGGGUUAUCGUUGCAAUUGAGAACCCUCAGGAUAUUAUUGUGCAAUCUGCUCGGCC